rnacentral:misc_RNA from 1 species
GAUGAAGAACGUAGCGAAAUGCGAUACUUGGUGUGAAUUGCAGAAUCCCGCGAAUCAUCGAAUUUUUGAACGCAAGUUGCGCCCGAAGCCAUUCGGCCGAGGGCACGUCUGCCUGGGUGUCACGCAUCGUUGCCCCCCCAAACUCCGGUUCGGGCGGGGCGGAAGUUGGCCUCCCGUGCGUGCCUGCGCGCGCGGUUAGCCCAAAAGCGAGUCCUCGGCGAUGAGCGCCACGACAAUCGGUGGUUUUUUUACCCUCGUUCCUCGUCGUGCGUGCCCCGUCGCCCGAACGCGCUCUUGCAACCCUUACGCGUCGCCUCGGUGGCGCUCCCAACGCGACCCCAGGUCAGGCAGGACUACCCGCUGAGUUUAAGCAUAUCAAUAAGCGGAGGA